GUUAGUAGUAAAGGCUUACCAAGGCGAUGAUGCAUAGCCGAGUUGAGAGACUGAUCGGCCACAUUGAGACUGAGACACGGCCCAAACUCCUACGGGAGGCAGCAGUAGGGAAUCUUCCACAAUGGACGCAAGUCUGAUGGAGCAACGCCGCGUGAGUGAAGAAGGUUUUCGGAUCGUAAAAGCUCUGUUGUUGGUGAAGAAGGAUAGAGGUAGUAACUGGCCUUUAUUUGACGGUAAUCAACCAGAAAGUCACGGCUAACUACGUGCCAGCAGCCGCGGUAAU
rnacentral:rRNA from 1 species